rnacentral:rRNA from 1 species
GAUGAACGCUAGCGGCAGGCUUAAUACAUGCAAGUCGAGGGGCAGCAUGAAUGUAGCAAUACAUUUGAUGGCGACCGGCAAACGGGUGCGGAACACGUACACAACCUUCCUAUAAGUGGGGAAUAGCCCAGAGAAAUUUGGAUUAAUACCCCGUAACAUAAUGAUGUGGCAUCACAUUAUUAUUAUAGCUACGGCGCUUAUUGAUGGGUGUGCGGCUGAUUAGAUAGUUGGCGGGGUAACGGCCCACCAAGUCUACGAUCAGUAGCUGAUGUGAGAGAAUGAUCAGCCACACUGGAACUGAGACACGGGCCCGACUCCUACGUGAGGCAGCAGUAAGGAAUAUUGGUCAAUGGACGCAAGUCUGAACCAGCCAUGCCGCGUGAAGGAUUAAGGUCCUCUGGAUUGUAAACUUCUUUUAUCUGGGACGAAAAAAGGCUAUUCUUAGUCACUUGACGGUACCAGAUGAAUAAGCACCGGCUAACUCCGUGCCAGCCGCCGCAGUAA